AUUGAACGCUGGCGGCAUGCUUUACACAUGCAAGUCGAACGGUAACAGGCCGCAAGGUGCUGACGAGUGGCGAACGGGUGAGUAAUGCAUCGGAACGUGCCCAGUCGUGGGGGAUAACGCAGCGAAAGCUGCGCUAAUACCGCAUACGAUCUAUGGAUGAAAGCGGGGGACCGUACGGCCUCGCGCGAUUGGAGCGGCCGAUGUCAGAUUAGGUAGUUGGUGGGGUAAAGGCUCACCAAGCCAACGAUCCGUAGCUGGUCUGUGAGGACGACCAGCCACACUGGGCCUGAGACGCGGCCCAGACGCCUACGGGAGGCAGCAGUGGGGAAGUUUGGACAAUUGGCGCAAGCCUGAUCCAGCAAUGCCGCGUGCAGGAAGAAGGCCUUCGGGUUGUAAACUGCUUUUGUACGGAACGAAACGGUUCUCUCUAAUACAGGGGGCUAAUGACGGUACCGUAAGAAUAAGCACCGGCUAACUACGUGCCAGCCGCCGCGGUAAUAC
rnacentral:rRNA from 1 species